GAUGAACGCUGGCGGCGUGCCUAAUACAUGCAAGUCGAGCGAACGGACGAGAAGCUUGCUUCUCUGAUGUUAGCGGCGGACGGGUGAGUAACACGUGGAUAACCUACCUAUAAGACUGGGAUAACUUCGGGAAACCGUAGCUAAUACCGGAUAAUAUUUUGAACCGCAUGGUUCAAAAGUGAAAGACGGUCUUGCUGUCACUUAUAGAUGGAUCCGCGCUGCAUUAGCUAGUUGGUAAGGUAACGGCUUACCAAGGCAACGAUGCAUAGCCGACCUGAGAGGGUGAUCGGCCACACUGGAACUGAGACACGGUCCAGACUCCUACGGGAGGCAGCAGUAGGGAAUCUUCCGCAAUGGGCGAAAGCCUGACGGAGCAACGCCGCGUGAGUGAUGAAGGUCUUCGGAUCGUAAAACUCUGUUAUUAGGGAAGAACAUAUGUGUAAGUAACUGUGCACAUCUUGACGGUACCUAAUCAGAAAGACACGGCUAACUACGUG
rnacentral:rRNA from 1 species